rnacentral:rRNA from 1 species
UGGAUGAACGCUAGCGACAGGCUUAACACAUGCAAGUCGAGGGGCAGCACAGGUAGCAAUACCGGGUGGCGACCGGCGCACGGGUGAGUAACGCGUAUGCAACUUGCCUAUCAGAGGGGGAUAACCCGGCGAAAGUCGGACUAAUACCGCAUGAAGCAGGGAUCCCGCAUGGGAAUAUUUGCUAAAGAUUCAUCGCUGAUAGAUAGGCAUGCGUUCCAUUAGGCAGUUGGCGGGGUAACGGCCCACCAAACCGACGAUGGAUAGGGGUUCUGAGAGGAAGGUCCCCCACAUUGGUACUGAGACACGGACCAAACUCCUACGGGAGGCAGCAGUGAGGAAUAUUGGUCAAUGGCCGAGAGGCUGAACCAGCCAAGUCGCGUGAGGGAUGAAGGUUCUAUGGAUCGUAAACCUCUUUUAUAAGGGAAUAAAGUGCGGGACGUGUCCCGUUUUGUAUGUACCUUAUGAAUAAGGAUCGGCUAACUCCGUGCCAGCAGCCGCGGUAAUACGGAGGAUCCGAGCGUUAUCCGGAUUUAUUGGGUUUAAAGGGUGCGUAGGCGGCCUUUUAAGUCAGCGGUGAAAGUCUGUGGCUCAACCAUAGAAUUGCCGUUGAAACUGGGGGGCUUGAGUAUGUUUGAGGCAGGCGGAAUGCGUGGUGUAGCGGUGAAAUGCAUAGAUAUCACGCAGAACCCCGAUUGCGAAGGCAGCCUGCCAAGCCAUUACUGACGCUGAUGCACGAAAGCGUGGGGAUCAAACAGGAUUAGAUACCCUGGUAGUCCACGCAGUAAACGAUGAUCACUAGCUGUUUGCGAUACACUGUAAGCGGCACAGCGAAAGCGUUAAGUGAUCCACCUGGGGAGUACGCCGGCAACGGUGAAACUCAAAGGAAUUGACGGGGGCCCGCACAAGCGGAGGAACAUGUGGUUUAAUUCGAUGAUACGCGAGGAACCUUACCCGGGUUUGAACGCAUUCGGACCGAGGUGGAAACACCUUUUCUAGCAAUAGCCGUUUGCGAGGUGCUGCAUGGUUGUCGUCAGCUCGUGCCGUGAGGUGUCGGCUUAAGUGCCAUAACGAGCGCAACCCUUGCCACUAGUUACUAACAGGUGAUGCUGAGGACUCUGGUGGGACUGCCAGCGUAAGCUGCGAGGAAGGCGGGGAUGACGUCAAAUCAGCACGGCCCUUACAUCCGGGGCGACACACGUGUUACAAUGGCGUGGACAAAGGGAGGCCACCUGGCGACAGGGAGCGAAUCCCCAAACCACGUCUCAGUUCGGAUCAGAGUCUGCAACCCGACUCCGUGAAGCUGGAUUCGCUAGUAAUCGCGCAUCAGCCAUGGCGCGGUGAAUACGUUCCCGGGCCUUGUACACACCGCCCGUCAAGCCAUGGGAGCCGGGGGUACCUGAAGUCCGUAACCGCGAGGAUCGGCCUAGGGUAAAACUGGUG